rnacentral:rRNA from 1 species
UACGUAGGGGGCGAGCGUUGUCCGGAUUUAUUGGGCGUAAAGAGCUCGUAGGCGGUUCGAUAAGUCGGACGUGAAAUCUCCACGCUCAACGUGGAGGGGCCGUUCGAUACUGUCGUGACUCGAGUCCGGUAGGGGAGUGUGGAAUUCCCGGGUGUAGCGGUGAAAUGCGCAGAGAUCGGGAGGAACACCCGUAGCGAAGGCGGCACUCUGGGCCGGUACUGACGCUGAGGAGCGAAAGCGUGGUAGCGAACAGG